rnacentral:lncRNA from 1 species
UGCCUGCAAAACAGACCAAAAUAGCCACCACUAUGUGAGCUCUGGGAUCACCAGCCAGUGCUUAGAAAUCAUUCUCCCAGGGUGAGAAGUGUUGUGUGCAUGUGCAUGUUGCUACUUUCAACCUGCCCCAACAAACAGUGCCAGAGUGUCUGUCCAACACUCAAAAGCGCAGCAAACCAUCCCACCAGGCAUCACUGCCCAGUAACGCCACAGAUCCCUCCUGAAGGGUGAAGAGAAAUGGCACCAGACCAUCCUGGACACUGCCACCACUGGUGACAGUCAGCCAGCCACCCAACAGGGAGCCCUUCCUUUACAGCACGCACAGCAGGCCAGCUGGGCUCUAGCACCACGUGUCCCUAGAGCCCUGCUGUGUUGCACCCUGAGCUGGCUGUGCUCCCAGCCCCACAGCCCCAGCACCCCAGCACUUUGCAGCCAAGGGUGUUGCAAUGGCAAAAAUGCAAUUGCAUUGUUGCCGGGAAGGUCGCUGAGAUUUAAUUGUGUAUAAACUGAAUGACGAGUUUAGAGUUGCUGGAACCCACUGUUGCCUUGUGCAUUCUACAGAUGCUGUUUCUACAUUAUAGUCUCGAGCUGGCUGGAUUUUGUUUGGACAGGUUUGUAACCUCUUUAGUCAUCUCCUCAAUAACAAAAGAGAGCUUUAGAAAUGUGGGAAACAUGAGGCCCCUAUACGAAAGGGCCUGAUUUCUGAGCAACAAGUCAGCUGCCCUUACAUUCCUGCCAAAUGUCCUUCUCAUUAGGCAACAGAAUCAGCCACAUUCACGUAAUGCAGAUUUAACUGCUUGCGUUAAUGAGGCCACCUGCAAGAGGAGAAACAGAGGGGGAGCUACAUGAGUCAGAGGGAGGCCUCAGAAGCUGGAAGCCCCGGCCAGGUGCCCGAACCUGAAAGUUUUGGGGUUGGGGUUUUCCCCCUCAGCCUCUGCAGAGUCCAGCCUGGACUGGAGGUCCUAGCACAGGUGCUGCAAGAGGCGGUGUCCCAGCAUCACCAAGAGGGAAUGCAGGAGCUGUGGAUGUUUUUGUCCUCAACACAUGGGAUUGCCCUGGUACUUUCCUCCUUUGAUAAAAGCAGGUGUGAUACUGCUUCUCACGGGGCUGUUUGUUGA